GACGGGGGGUGCAAGUGAUAUUCGGAAUCACUGGGCGUAAAGCGUCUGUAGGUGGUCAAAUAAGUCAACUGUUAAAUCUUGAGGCUCAACCUCAAAAUCGCAGUCGAAACUAUUAGACUAGAGUAUAGUAGGGGUAAAGGUAAUUUCCAGUGGAGCGGUGAAUUGCGUAGAGAUUGGAAGGGACUCCGAUGGUGAAGGCACUUUACUGGGCUAUUACUAACUCUCAGAGACGAAAGCUAGGGUAGCAAAUGGG
rnacentral:rRNA from 1 species